UUUUCGGAUGGAUUUAAAGCAGCUUAGUGGCGGACGGGUGAGUAACGCGUGGGUAACCUGCCUCACACUGGGGGAUAACAGUUAGAAAUAGCUGCUAAUACCGCAUAAGCGCACAGCACCGCAUGGUGCAGUGUGAAAAACUCCGGUGGUGUGAGAUGGAUCCGCGUCUGAUUAGCUGGUUGGUGAGGUAACGGCCCACCAAGGCGACGAUCAGUAGCCGGCCUGAGAGGGUGAACGGCCACAUUGGGACUGAGACACGGCCCAAACUCC
rnacentral:rRNA from 1 species